ACGCGUGGAACCUUACCAGGUCUUGACAUCUCCUGACAAUCCUAGAGAUAGGACGUUCCCCUUCGGGGGACAGGAUGACAGGUGGUGCAUGGUUGUCGUCAGCUCGUGUCGUGAGAUGUUGGGUUAAGUCCCGCAACGAGCGCAACCCUUGAUCUUAGUUGCCAGCAUUUAGUUGGGCACUCUAAGGUGACUGCCGGUGACAAACCGGAGGAAGGUGGGGAUGACGUCAAAUCAUCAUGCCCCUUAUGACCUGGGCUACACACGUGCUACAAUGGAUGGUACAAAGGGCAGCAAAACCGCGAGGUCGAGCCAAUCCCAUAAAACCAUUCUCAGUUCGGAUUGUAGGCUGCAACUCGCCUACAUGAAGCCGGAAUCGCUAGUAAUCGCGGAUCAGCAUGCCGCGGUGAAUACGUUCCCGGGCCUUGCACACACCGCCCGU
rnacentral:rRNA from 1 species